rnacentral:rRNA from 1 species
UACGAAGGGGGCAAGCGUUGUUCGGAAUUAUUGGGUUUAAAGGGUGCGUAGGCGGCCUAUUAAGUCAGGGGUGAAAGACGGUAGCUUAACUAUCGCAGUGCCUUUGAUACUGAUAGGCUUGAAUAUACUUGAGGUAGGCGGAAUUGACAGUGUAGCGGUGAAAUGCAUAGAUAUUGUCAAGAACACCAAUUGCGAAGGCAGCUUACUAAAGUAUAACUGACGCUGAGGCACGAAAGUGCGGGGAUCAAACAGG